AACGUAUCAUAUAUCAGAGCUGGUUUGAAUCUUCCCUAUGUCCAUGACGACAGGCCUUACAACCACGACCUGUACACAGUAAGUAACGCCGAGUUUAACGUACCAGAAAUCCCCUUGGAGUACGGCUUCCCCGAUCAUGAACCCCAUCACCAACCGAGCACACAGUACUAAGAUCCCACCAGAUCCCACAAGAAUCCUAAACAUCGUAUUCCAACAUCCGGCCAACACAGCGAAACCUACCCCCAAAAUCAAAUCCCAAAACCCCCUGCUUUCAUAACCAAUCCAAGCAAAAAUGCGAAUGUUUUUCGGCUCCGCAACAAAAACCACCAUUCCGCGCUACAUGACACCCCACAUUCGGUAUCCUGAUAUCCCGCAUGACCCCCAAAAAAAUCCUUUGCCACCAAACACCAUGCCACACACUCGCAUGCACACACGCCCGAUCA
rnacentral:sRNA from 1 species